GUGCCAGCCGCCGCGGUAAUACGUAGGUGGCGAGCGUUGUCCGGAUUUACUGGGCGUAAAGGAUGCGUAGGCGGAUAUUUAAGUGAGAUGUGAAAUACCCGAGCUUAACUUGGGUGCUGCAUUUCAAACUGGAUAUCUAGAGUGUGGGAGAGGAGAAUGGAAUUCCUAGUGUAGCGGUGAAAUGCGUAGAGAUUAGGAAGAACACCAGUGGCGAAGGCGAUUCUCUGGACCAUAACUGACGCUGAGGCAUGAAAGCGUGGGUAGCAAACAGGAUUAGAUACCCUGGUAGUCC
rnacentral:rRNA from 1 species